rnacentral:rRNA from 1 species
GAUGAACGCUGGCGGCGUGCCUAAUACAUGCAAGUCGAGCGAAUGGAUUAAGAGCUUGCUCUUAUGAAGUUAGCGGCGGACGGGUGAGUAACACGUGGGUAACCUGCCCAUAAGACUGGGAUAACUCCGGGAAACCGGGGCUAAUACCGGAUAAUAUUUUGAACUGCAUGGUUCAAAAUUGAAAGGCGGCUUCGGCUGUCACUUAUGGAUGGACCCGCGUCGCAUUAGCUAGUUGGUGGGGUAACGGGUCACCAAGGCAACGAUGCGUAGCCGACCUGGGAGGGUGAUCGGCCACACUGGGACUGAGACACGGCCCAGACUCCUACGGGAGGCAGCAGUAGGGAAUCUUCCGCAAUGGACGAAAGUCUGACGGGGCAACGCCGCGUGAGUGAUGAAGGCUUUCGGGUCGUAAAACUCUGUUGUUAGGGAAGAACAAGUGCUAGUUGAAUAAGCUGGCACCUUGACGGUACCUAACCAGAAAGCCACGGCUAACUACGUGCCAGCCGCCGCCGUAA